GUUGAAGACAACUGUAUUUGUUCACCUUUUUUCGUUAAAAUGCAGAAUGAGCGAAGUUGGAUGUAUAACAAGAAUUCAGGUAUAAUGCAGAAUGAGGAAGAGGAGACGGAGGAGGAGGAUGAUGAUAAUCACAAUGAUGACUUUGAUUUUUGAUGAUGGGGUUGGUAAGGCGAACUAAAGGUCCGAGAAAAAAGUAAGUAUUAAGUAACAUGUUAAACUUUUAAUUUUAUUUAUUUAUUUAUUUUUUAAUUGCUUUUAAUUUAUUGAAAUUUGUUACUAUUGUAUUAUUAGUUCAAAUUACAAAUUAUGAUUAGAGUUUACCUAGCAACCAAGUAACCAUGAUUACUAAAACACUUGUAUCACGAAAAAAUUAAGUUUAAUUAGUUUGUGUUUUCUUCAUUUGAGCUAUUUUCAUAUGUUAGGAAAUUUUAAGAAUAUCUUUCAUGCUCUCCAUGUGUCAUGGACAUAGAAUAUUUGUAGCUAUUGAUUGAUAUGGUGAAAUAGGUAUUAUUAUAACAAUUUGAUGUGCCAUUUAUAUUAGGUUGUAUCAUAUUUACGAUACUUUUACUUAGCUUCAAGAUACUUCUUAUAAUUUUAUGACAUGGAUGGUUCAUAUCGUUGGUAAAUAGGGCAUUUAUUUGA